rnacentral:rRNA from 1 species
UACGUAGGGCCCAAGCGUUGUUCGGAUUUACUGGGCGUAAAGGGCGCGUAGGCGGCAAUUCAAGUCAUCUGUGAAAUCUCCGGGCUUAACUCGGAACGGUCAGAUGAUACUGCUUUGCUCGAGUGCGGAAGGGGCAAUCGGAAUUCUUGGUGUAGCGGUGAAAUGCGUAGAUAUCAAGAGGAACACCUGAGGUGAAGACGGGUUGCUGGGCCGACACUGACGCUGAAGCGCGAAAGCCAGGGGAGCAAACGGG